rnacentral:rRNA from 1 species
UACGUAGGGUGCAGGCGUUAAUCGGAAUUACUGGACGUAAAGCGUGCGUAGGCGGUUUGUUAAGACAGGUGUGAAAUCCCCGGGCUUAACCUGGGAACUGCGCUUGUUACUGGCAGACUGGAGUGUGGCGAGAGGGGGGUGGAAUUCCAGGUGUAGCAGUGAAAUGCGUAGAUAUCUGGAGGAACACCGGUGGCGAAGGCGGCAUCCUGGACCGGCAUUGACGCUGAGGCGCGAAAGCUAGGGGAGCAAACGGG